AUGUCAGAUUAGGUAGUUGGUGGGGUAAAGGCUCACCAAGCCGACGAUCUGUAGCUGGUCUGAGAGGACGACCAGCCACACUGGGACUGAGACACGGAGUUUGAUCCUGGCUCAGAUUGAACGCUGGCGGCAUGCCUUACACAUGCAAGUCGAACGGUAACAGGUUUUUCGGAUGCUGACGAGUGGCGAACGGGUGAGUAAUACAUCGGAAACGUGCCCGAUCGUGGGGGAUAACGCAGCGAAAGCUGUGCUAAUACCGCAUACGAUCUACGGAUGAAAGCGGGGGAUCGCAAGACCUCGCGCGGACGGAGCGGCCGAUGGCAGAUUAGGUAGUUGGUGGGAUAAAAGCUUACCAAGCCGACGAUCUGUAGCUGGUCUGAGAGGACGACCAGCCACACUGGGACUGAGACACGGCCCAGACUCCUACGGGAGGCAGCAGUGGGGAAUUUUGGACAAUGGGCGAAAGCCUGAUCCAGCCAUGCCCCGUGCAGGAUGAAGGCCUUCGGGUUGUAAACUGCUUUUGUACGGAACGAAAAGACUCUGGUUAAUACCUGGGGUCCCAUGACGGUACCGUAAGAAUAAGCACCGGCUAACUACUUGCCAGCAGCC
rnacentral:rRNA from 1 species